UGGGGAAUAUUGCACAAUGGGCGCAAGCCUGAUGCAGCCAUGCCGCGUGUGUGAAGAAGGCCUUCGGGUUGUAAAGCACUUUCAGCGAGGAGGAAGGCAGUCGUGUUAAUAGCACGGUUGAUUGGCGUUACUCGCAGAAGAAGCACCGGCUAACUCCGUGCCAGCAGCCGCGGUAAUACGGAGGGUGCAAGCGUUAAUCGGAAUUACUGGGCGUAAAGCGCACGCAGGCGGUUUGUUAAGUCAGAUGUGAAAUCCCCGCGCUUAACGUGGGAACUGCAUUUGAAGCUGGCAAGCUAGAGUCUUGUAGAGGGGGGUAGAAUUCCAGGUGUAGCGGUGAAAUGCGUAGAGAUCUGGAGGAAUACCGGUGGCGAAGGCGGCCCCCUGGACAAAAGACUGACGCUCAGGUGCGAAAGCGUGGGGAGCAAACAGGAUUAGAGUACCCUGGUAGUCCACGC
rnacentral:rRNA from 1 species